rnacentral:rRNA from 1 species
AGAACGAACGCUGGCGGCAGGCUUAACACAUGCAAGUCGAACGCUCAUAGCAAUAUGGGAGUGGCGCACGGGUGAGUAACGCGUGGGAACGUGCCUUUUAGUCAGGGAUAACUACUGGAAACGGUAGCUAAUACCAGAUACGCCCUUAGGGGGAAAGAUUUAUCGCUAAAAGAUCGGCCCGCGUAAGAUUAGGUAGUUGGUGGGGUAAUGGCCUACCAAGCCUACGAUCUUUAGCUGGUCUGAGAGGAUGACCAGCCACACUGGAACUGAGACACGGUCCAGACUCCUACGGGAGGCAGCAGUGGGGAAUAUUGGACAAUGGGCGAAAGCCUGAUCCAGCCAUGCCGCGUGAAUGAUGAAGGCCUUAGGGUUGUAAAGUUCUUUUGUCAGGGAAGAUAAUGACGGUACCUGAAGAAUAAGCACCGGCUAACUUCGUGCCAGCAGCCGC